AGGGCUUAGCCCACCUGUGAACAGCAUUGGAUUCAGCCAUGUUCACAGUGGCUAAGUUCCGC
rnacentral:pre_miRNA from 1 species